rnacentral:rRNA from 1 species
UACGUAGGGGGCAAGCGUUGUCCGGAUUUAUUGGGCGUAAAAGAGCUCGUAGGCGGUUUUGUUGCGUCGGCUGUGAAAAUCCCCGAGGCUCAACCUCGGGUCUGCAGUCGAUACGAGCAAACUAGAGUGUUUGCAGGGGGAGACUGGGAAUUCCUGGUGUAGCGGUGAAAAUGCGCAGAUAUCAGGGAGGGAAACACCCAGCGGGCGAAAGGGCGGGGUAGCUGGGGCCCAA